AUCCCUGCAGAAUGUUCAGCGACAUUACACCGCCACUAAUGGAGAAUUAUGUGGAUGGUUUUCCUAAUGUUGAACCAGCCCUGCAUCCCUGGUAAAAAAUAAUAGUUAGCACAUAGGUGGCCAAAUCGCCUGAAUAUGGAAUCUUAGUAACCUGCAGAAUACCUCCUCCUGUCAAAGAGUAUUCAAAGAACAAGAAGACUCUGGAUUCAAUUCUCAGCUCUGCCAUUCACCCCUUAUGAAUUAGGAUGUAUGGAGGGUUCAGGGAGGACUAGUAUCUCUGAUUUCUUUCUCUGGAUGUGGAUAGCGCUCUUUUUCAGAAGUCCUUUGGAAUUGCCUUGGAUCAUUGCACUGCUGUUAGUAGAGAAGUCCAUUACAUUUGAUUGUUCCACAGUGUAUCAGUCUCUGUGUAUAAUGGUCUCCUGGUUCUUCUCCUUUCACUGCAUCAAUUCCUGGAGGUUGUUCCAGUUCACAUGGAAUUCCUCCAGUGCAUUAUUUCUUUGAGCACAAUAGUAUUCCAAAGUUAUUAUUUAUUAUAUUUUUUCUCUUUCUUUAGGAAAAAUAAAAUAGGUGGGGAAUUAAAUAAAGUUAUUUUC
rnacentral:lncRNA from 1 species